rnacentral:misc_RNA from 1 species
UACAGAGGGGGCGAGCGUUAUUCGGAAUUAUUGGGCGUAAAGGGCGCGUAGGCGGCCGAGCAACUCUUGGGUGAAAUCCCUCGGCUCAACCGAGGAACUGCCCUGGAAACUGCAUGGCUUGAGGCCGGGAGAGGGUGGUGGAAUUCCCAGUGUAGCGGUGAAAUGCGUAGAUAUUGGGAGGAACACCAGUGGCGAAGGCGGCCACCUGGACCGGUCCUGACGCUGAGGCGCGAAAGCGUGGGGAGCAAACAGG